rnacentral:misc_RNA from 1 species
GUUCAGGUUUCUCUCCAUUUAAAUCCACCUCUUUGGCAUUGACCCCAAUGCCACGAAGAUUAUAUAAAACAUGAAUUUGAACAGCCCAUCAAGUAAAUACCAAAUUACAAACUUUGCCAAUAGACGAGAUCAAAAAACACAAUGAGAUGCAGAAGAUGAAUAUGCCAAAAAUACUGAAAAGGGGAGAAGCUCUCCAGGUCCAGUUACCCUUUAAGAGAUCUUCAAUAGCUUCAACAGCAAGUCUAAAUAUGUAAGGUGUGACUGAAAUAAAGAUAAGCGCUGUGUACGGAAGCUAGUAUUAAUUUUUGGUUCAAGAAGGAUUGCGUGAACUACCGAAAGCAAUUACUACAUCUAAACAAGAAUCACUGUUUAAGCUGAAAUCACACAAAGAUAAAUCUACCUCUCCAUUUUCCUUCCCACUUUCCCUCAUUUUCCCUCAAUUUCUAACUUUUCCAUAACUGAUUCCUCUUCUUUUUCCUUCUUCUAAACUUGUUCUGAUGCCAAUUUGAAAGAUUUUAAGACAACAUUGACUUUUCUCUCUCCAUUUUUCUAUUUCUAACAGGCUCUUGCUAAUAAAUUCUUCUGCAAAUAGUCAAGGCAAAAGGCAAAGGUUUAAGUU